rnacentral:rRNA from 1 species
CACGUAGGGUGCGAGCGUUGUCCGGAAUUAUUGGGCGUAAAGAGCUCGUAGGCGGUGUGUCGCGUCGGCCGUGAAAACCUGCAGCUUAACUGUGGGCUUGCGGUCGAUACGGGCAUCACUGGAGUUCGGCAGGGGAGACUGGAAUUCCUGGUGUAGCGGUGAAAUGCGCAGAUAUCAGGAGGAACACCGGUGGCGAAGGCAGCUCUCUGGGACGGUACUGACGCUGAGACGCGAAAGCGUGGGGAGCGAACAGG